GUAGUAAAUCGCCUUAUCGAUUCUAAAUUUAUUUAGGGUAGGAAAGUCCGAACACCAGAGUGUAGCAUAGUGGCUAACAGCCACCAAUCGAGAGGUUAGGAAAAGUGCAACAGAAAGAAUGUACAGGUCAUGCUGUAGUGAAAUCAGGUAAACUCUAUGUGGUGCAAUGUCAUGUAAACUAACGCCUGAGCGUACACGCGCGAUUGUUAGAGGGUAGGCAGCUAAAGUUUAUUGGCAACAAUAAGCGUAGAUAAAUGAUAAGGGCUCAUUUGAGUACAGAAUUCGGCUUAUAGAUUUACUCACACA
rnacentral:RNase_P_RNA from 1 species